GAUGAAGAACGUAGCGAAAUGCGAUAAGUAGUGUGAAUUGCAGAAUUCAGUGAAUCAUCGAAUCUUUGAACGCACAUUGCGCCCUUUUGUAUUCCAAAGGGCAUGCCUGUUCGAGCGUCAUUUGUACCCUCAAGCUUUGCUUGGUGUUGGGCGUCUUGUCUCCAGUUCGCUGGAGACUCGCCUUAAAGUAAUUGGCAGCCGGCCUACUGGUUUCGGAGCGCAGCACAAGUCGCGCUCUCUUCCAGCCAAGGUCAGCAUCCACAAAGCCUUUUUUCAACUUUUGACCUCGGAUCAGGUAGGGAUACCCGCUGAACUUAAGCAUAUCAAUAAGCGGAGGA
rnacentral:misc_RNA from 1 species